UUUCAAAAUCAACAUUUUAUUCAAACAGCAAACUCAUACAACUAUCCCAAAUAAUUGUGUUUUGAGAAAUACGGAACUCAUGUACAAAACGUGACAGAUACAAUUUAACCGCACUUGAAUAUUCCAACAUUAGACUGCAUCAUUUAACACAUGUAACAGGUGUCUCUGUGUUCCGUAUUGUAUGGAUGUGUAUGUUUCUGUAAUUACAUGGCUCUUCUGUAAAACACACAUUGGUCUCAGCAUGACUGCCUGUCAAAAUUAAGCUAUUCAGAAAUAACGUGUGUAACAUGUCAAGUUAAAUGAAUGUCAUAUUAAAAGCCAGAAAUGUUUAUCAUUUGCCAAAUGCCUGGAAGAAACCAGUUGUCGGAAGUCAAAAUAACACUAUUAAAGGUGGAUGUUGUGUGGUUUCUCCUCCCAGGUAAGCUGUAUGUGUCACUGCUACACAGUUUCCUACCUUGCUGUUGUGUUGUGUACACUACAUACAUUCCCUACUUCUGCUUCCAACACCAUCAAUAAUAUACCUGUAAUCUGUGAUCUUCCAAACACACACAGUUCAGUCUUUAUACAUUUUAUAUAGAAAGUUCAAGAUGAGCAUACACAAUGAUAGGAAAGUUAUCCAACUCGUGUGUGUGUGUGUGUGUGUCCUCUAAAAAGGACUAACAGGUGUAUUUCCUAUUGUCCUGAACUGUAGGCCUACACCACACAUGCUCAUGGAAUUACAACAAUGCAUGCAGAUUUUGACUCCCCGAGUCGGGAGAUAUUUGACGACAACAACAACAACAACAACUACAACAACAAUUAACAUCUGCAAUAAUAUGACAAUAAUAAUAUCACUCAUCAAUAAAUACAAUACAUUCAAUUCGGCGACUGAGUCCUCCACAAAUGCUUUUUGGGGUAAGGGCUUCCCAGACUGAUAUUUAUGAACAGCAAGCCCAGACCGCAAAAAGAUUCGUGACGGACAAUCUACGGGUCCAGAUCCACAUCACUCCACGAACUACUGCCGUAAAAAGAGUCUUCCACUGUCUCUCAUCCACACAAAGUGCAUCUGUUCAGCAAUUGGUACAACACUCACAAUCUAUCUUUGCGCGCAAGGUUGUUGCAUGGGGAAUCCGACAUUGUAACCACAUUCGUCUAACCAUAUAAAUUCACGUUAAGCUACAGAAAACACUGUGUUUUAGUUCUAAACCAGCAACAAUCGCGGUGUGUGUAAGUACAUCCUCUUAUCCGUAAUGUCGCCUGAUGGAGAGCCGAUCUCCAGUUGUCUGCCGAUAGCUGUGCACGAGGAAGAACGCUGCUCUGCUCCAACGUACCGUAAAUAGAGAGCAGCGAAGGCUUUCAUUGGAGAGUACAGAACUCGUCAUCUACCAAUCGCAAUCAAUCUCUAUAGGGACCCCCCUUAUCCAACAAAAAAAAUCGAAAAGGAAAACGAACUGGUUUCCCCACGGUGGAAAAGUAACGAGACAAACCAUUGUCCACACAGUAGCCUUUACGCCUUGCCAAAGCCCAAAUAAAUGUGUGCAAAAAUGGGGAGCUUCU
rnacentral:lncRNA from 1 species